CGUUGUUUUCCUUCCGGUUCAGACCUCGGUGUUGGUUGGUGCUGCACGCUAGCUGCAAAUUAAUGCAUGCGCGCAAAUGAUGCGCUAACGACGCUCUGAUCGCCGCCGCCUGUACAAGUUCUACGUUUCCUCCUUCCUUUUAGAGGCACUACAUAGAGAACUCAGCGGUAGGUGAAGUGCUGAAGUUUGGAUGCUUUUAGAUUCCAUUUCUAACAUUUAUUUUUGAUAGCCGCUGCCGUUUGUCCUUGGCCGGCUGUUUGCCCGCUGUUCUGGUUGUCCUCGACCGACGGUCCGCCUGUCAACUGGAUAAUCUGUCGGCUGCCUACCUGUCGUCCUGGUUGCUGGCUGUAGGCCCGCCGUCCUGGUCGGCGUAAAGUUGGCUCCUACCACUCGUCCAGUGUGGCUGAUUUGGGCCGAUUGGUGAUCAGCUCGGACUAAUUUUCUACUGCCGCUCUGAGUGGCGUCUGCUACAGCGGAUCGGUUUCUCCCUGGACGACUCUUAAUUUGGACUAUUGCUGCUUGAUUGUGGGCUGAACUGCAUAAUUGUAUUGUUUGUAAUUUGCAUGUCUCUCUUCUAUUUUUUUGUGAUAGGAACGGCCAGCUCGUGGUGUUGGUGGUGGACUUUCCGGGUGGUGGUACUCCUUUUUGGUUUGGUGCACGACUUUCUUUUGUUUUGCCUUGUUUCGUUUGCUGUGUUUCUUUUCUUUUAGGACACUACCCCAAAUUGCACCCCCGUCCCUGAGUUGCGCUAACACUGACUUUUAAUGUGACAAACGGCAGCGGUUCAUUUAUUUUGAGCUGGUCAUUUGUAGUAAUGGAGGAAGAGCUACUGGAAUUGAAGACCCUGGUUGCUCAAUUAAAGGCUGACAAUGAGAAGCUGCGUGCAGAGCGUUCACCUUCCACAUCUAGCUCCAGUGCCGGGCCGUCUUCAGCUUCUGCACCCCCCACCGCCCAAAUAACGGACAGGUUAGUGUUUGUUCCACGCGAUCGUAAGUGUCCUAUGUUUAGGGGACGGGUGGGGAUUAGUGUGAGCGAGUGGGUUGAGGAGGUGCAGGCGUGUAUGCGGGCACGAAAUUUGUCAGCAGUAGAUCAGGCCUUCUUUUUGUAUGACCAUUUAGAAGGAGAGGCUAGGGAUGAGGUCAAAUAUCGCUCUAGUCAGGAACGAGGGGAUCCGGCUAAAAUCAUUUCUAUCCUCAAGGAGCUUUAUGGAUGUA